GGGAGGAACAGGUGCUCAAAAGGGGCUUCAGCGAGUCGUCGGAAAGGACUAAGUCGUACCUGCUUGCGUCAUGUCCAGCGGAGAGCCUUUAGUGUAGCGAGGAAAUGUCACACCGGAGAACGCCAUUAAUUCCCCGUGCAACUUCCUGAUUCAAGAUUUCGAAGCAAAAAUUCCAGAGAGAAACCAUAAGGAAGGCAUAGUACUGAAGGUCAGGAGUCUAGACGCUUUCCCACUGACAUGAACCGAGAAAUAUGGAAGAAGGUUGCUCGCUGAAUGUAUCUUACGAUCUCAGCGCAUUGCUGUUUCUGGAUCAGGGGCUUCCCUUACGGCCGGUAUCAGGACCUAGCCUUACGUAAGGAUCCCCUGGUGGAUAGAGGAGGGCUGAAGAAUGUAGAGGAGACUAUUGAAUAGAUAUCCGUUCGCUUGAAAUUAAAGUAUAUUCUCAAUUGUAUCGACGAUGGUGAUACUGAAUACCAACAUAUAUGUUAUCCAUCGUGCCAGGCAGCAUGUUUUCAUACUGUUUGUUUUGAUAUUAUAAAUCAGUUAAGUCAUCA